rnacentral:rRNA from 1 species
AUACGGAGGGUCCAAGCGUUAUCCGGAUUCAUUGGGUUUAAAGGGUCCGCAGGCGGGAAAAUAAGUCAGUGGUGAAAGCCUACAGCUCAACUGUAGAACUGCCAUUGAUACUGUUUUUCUUGAGUAUAGAUGAAGUGGGCGGAAUAUAUCAUGUAGCGGUGAAAUGCAUAGAUAUGAUAUAGAACACCGAUUGCGAAGGCAGCUCACUAAACUAUUACUGACGCUCAGGGACGAAAGCGAGGGGAGCGAACAGGAUUAGAAACCCUAGUAGUCC